rnacentral:rRNA from 1 species
UACGUAGGGUGCGAGCGUUGUCCGGAAUUAUUGGGCGUAAAGGGCUCGUAGGCGGUUUGUCGCGUCGGGAGUGAAAACCCAGGGCUUAACUCUGGGCUUGCUUCCGAUACGGGCAGGCUAGAGGCAUGCAGGGGAGAACGGAAUUCCUGGUGUAGCGGUGAAAUGCGCAGAUAUCAGGAGGAACACCGGUGGCGAAGGCGGUUCUCUGGGCAUGUCCUGACGCUGAGGAGCGAAAGUGUGGGGAGCGAACAGG